UACUUCUCAUUUUGCUGUCAAAAAUUCUAGAAUUUGUAUUUCAGAAAUUCAAAUGUGAGCAUUUUUGUUCAGAAGAAAGUGGAGGAAGAGCAGGUAGCGGAGACUAAAUUUCUAGUAUUCUAGAUCAUCUUGGUCAUUUUCUCCGUGAGAAAUUGCCAAUAUUUUAUAAAAUUUUCCCACCUUCUCAGUACUUGGUGCAGGCAGUGAGAAAAUAGGGGUCUUGGCUGUGAGGCUGGAAUGAGAGCAUGCUGUGACCUGAAGCAAAACGUCCACUGGCCAGGGGUCCCUGCCUCCAGGAGAAGGAGAGGGGUCUAAUCUCCAGGUGCCCCUGGCCUCCCACAAUGAUCGGGAAACGGUAGAGAAGAUCAUAAUAAAAGAGCUGGGUUACACAGAGUGUGGGAACCAUGCUGAGCCUCCGUCAGUCAGCAACCCUCAUCAGCCAGUGAGGAAAACAGUUCUCUGGGAGUUCUCUCAGGAGACCACAAGGGGACCCGGCCAAGAUAACUUGGUAGGAGUUUUCCAUUUUCAAGAGUUUGACUCUCAAAAAUGACUAAGAAAGGAAGAUGUGGCCUUUUCCAAGGUAUUUGACCAAAGCAAUGGACGUCAAUGACUACAUAAGACUUGAAGAGAAAACCGUGUCAACAGGAGAUUGAGUGAGUAGCCACAGCCCUGAGCAGAGGAAAUCUUGUGACAACAUACAGCAGCCUGGGCCUGACCCAAAGAGACUUCUCGGGUCGGUAAUAACCACCUCAAUAAGCGGU
rnacentral:lncRNA from 1 species